rnacentral:rRNA from 1 species
AUUGAACGCUGGCGGCAGGCCUAACACAUGCAAGUCGAGCGAGCGGCGGACGGGUGAGUAAUGUCUGGGAAACUGCCGGAUGGAGGGGGAUAACUACUGGAAACGGUAGCUAAUACCGCAUACCAUCAGAUGUGCCCAGAUGGGAUUGGCUAGUAGGUGGGGUAACGGCUCACCUAGGCGACGAUCCCUAGCUGGGCUGUGAGGAUGACCAGCCACACUGGAACUGAGACACGGUCCGGACUCCUACGGGAGGCAGCAGUGGGGAGUAUUGCACAAUGGGCGCAAGCCUUAUGCAGCAAUGCCGCGUUUGUGACGAAGGCCUUCGGGUUGUAAAGCACGUUCAGCGGGGAGGCGUUACCCGCAGAAGAAGCACCGGCUAACUCCGUGCCAGCAGCCGCGGUAAUAC